rnacentral:rRNA from 1 species
GACGAACGCUGGCGGCGUGCUUAACACAUGCAAGUCGAACGGUAAGGCCCUUCGGGGUACACGAGUGGCGAACGGGUGAGUAACACGUGGGUGAUCUGCCCUGCACUUCGGGAUAAGCCUGGGAAACUGGGUCUAAUACCGGAUAGGACCACUGCCUGCAUGGGUGGUGGUGGAAAGCUUUUGCGGUGUGGGAUGGGCCCGCGGCCUAUCAGCUUGUUGGUGGGGUGAUGGCCUGCCAAGGCGACGACGGGUAGCCGGCCUGAGAGGGUGGCCGGUCACACUGGGACUGAGAUACGGCCCAGACUCCUACGGGAGGCAGCAGUGGGGAAUAUUGCACAAUGGGCGCAAGCCUGAUGCAGCGACGCCGCGUGAGGGAUGACGGCCUUCGGGUUGUAAACCUCUUUCAGCUAUGACGAAGCGCAAGUGACGGUAGUAGCAGAAGAAGGACCGGCCAACUACGUGCCAGCCGCCGCAGUAA